GAUAGCUCAGUUGGUUAGAGUGUGGUGCUGAUGAUGCCAAGGUUGCAGGUUCAAUCACCGUAUAUGGGAUGGUUGCA